rnacentral:rRNA from 1 species
UGGGGAAUUUUGGACAAUGGGCGAAAGCCUGAUCCAGCAAUGCCGCGUGUGUGAAGAAGGCCUUCGGGUUGUAAAGCACUUUUGUCCGGAAAGAAAUCCUUGGCUCUAAUACAGUCGGGGGAUGACGGUACCGGAAGAAUAAGCACCGGCUAACUACGUGCCAGCAGCCGCGGUAAUACGUAGGGUGCAAGCGUUAAUCGGAAUUACUGGGCGUAAAGCGUGCGCAGGCGGUUUGCUAAGACCGAUGUGAAAUCCCCGGGCUCAACCUGGGAACUGCAUUGGUGACUGGCAGGCUAGAGUAUGGCAGAGGGGGGUAGAAUUCCACGUGUAGCAGUGAAAUGCGUAGAGAUGUGGAGGAAUACCGAUGGCGAAGGCAGCCCCCUGGGCCAAUACUGACGCUCAUGCACGAAAGCGUGGGGAGCAAACAGGAUUAGAUACCCUGGUAGUCCACGCCCUAAACGAUGUCAACUAGUUGUUGGGGAUUCAUUUCCUUAGUAACGUAGCUAACGCGUGAAGUUGACCGCCUGGGGAGUACGGUCGCAAAGAUUAAAACUCAAAGGAAUUGACGGGGUCAUAGCUGUUUCCU